rnacentral:rRNA from 1 species
GACGAACGCUGGCGGCGUGCCUAAUACAUGCAAGUCGAACGCAGUGGGGGCGGGUGAGUAACACGUGGGUAACCUCCCAUCAGAGGGGAUAACACGUGGAAACAGGUGCUAAACCGCUACUGAUGGCUGUACCCGCGGUGCAUUAGCUAGUUGGUGAGGUAACGGCUCACCAAGGCCACGCUUCAUAGCCGACCUGGGAGGGUGAUCGGCCCCACUGGGACUGAGACACGGCCCAGAGUCCUACGGGAGGCAGCAGUAGGUAAUCUUCGGCAAUGGACGAAAGUCUGACCGAGCAACGCCGCGUUAGUGAAGAAGGUUUUCGGAUCGUAAAACUCUGUUGUUAGAGAAGCGGUAUCUAACCAGAAAGCCACGGCUAACUACGUGCCAGCAGCCGCGGUAAUUC